rnacentral:ribozyme from 2 species
ACCUGAACUAAGCCCAUCACCACAGAGGCGAUGGGCUGUGUGCUUACCCAGGAUUGGAUCUUCUUCUCUUGCACACUGUGCUGACAUGAUUCUCAUGACUCUUGCUUGGAGAGAUCUGGAUGAGCCAUCAGGGGACCUCUGACUUUGUCAGCGUCUACCAG